CUCCAGAUGUUGCUGAACUACAACUCUCAUGAUUCUAUGGCUGUCAUUGAAAGAAUCAUGGGAGUUGUAGUUCAGCAACAUCUUGAG